rnacentral:misc_RNA from 1 species
GAUGAAGAACGCAGCGAAAUGCGAUAAGUAAUGUGAAUUGCAGAAUUCAGUGAAUCAUCGAAUCUUUGAACGCACAUUGCGCCCGCUAGUAUUCUGGCGGGCAUGCCUGUCCGAGCGUCAUUUCAACCCUCAAGCCCCCGGGCUUGGUGUUGGGGAUCGGCGAGCCUCCGCGCCCGCCGUCCCCUAAAUCUAGUGGCGGUCUCGCUGUAGCUUCCUCUGCGUAGUAGCACACCUCGCACUGGGAAACAGCGCGGCCACGCCGUUAAGCCCCCAACUUCUGAACGUUUGACCUCGGAUCAGGUAGGAAUACCCGCUGAACUUAAGCAUAUCAAUAAGCGGAGGA